UACGUAGGUGACCAGCGUUGUCCGGAUUUACUGGGCGUAAAGAGCGCGCAGGCGGUCGUUCAAGUCGAGUGUGAAAGCCCCCGGCUCAACUGGGGAGGGUCACUCGAUACUGAUCGACUUGAAGGCAGGAGAGGGAAGCGGAAUUCCCGGUGUAGUGGUGAAAUACGUAGAUAUCUGGAGGAACACCGGUGGCGAAGGCGGCUACCUGGCCCAACAUUGACGCUGAGACCCGAAAGCAUGGGGAUCAAACAGG
rnacentral:rRNA from 1 species